rnacentral:lncRNA from 1 species
GAGCGUAUAGGUGCUGCUGGAGUGAAGAGCUGAGCCGUGUGUCCGGAGAAUAUUAGUAUAGAAUAUGUACGGCUAUUGGAUUAUACAUCGAUGGGUUUAUUUGCACGGAGAAAAUUAUCUCCAAGGAGAAAUCUUGUUAUGUGAGGCAAGUAGCUGCUUUGCUAAACUCCCUGAUCUCGCCUUAUUGUUGUCUUCCUUGAUUAUCUAGUAAUAUUAUUGCACCUUGAUCCUUGUUGAUCGUCUCUUGAUCCUUGAGAGAGGAAUGUGUUUUUUUUCAUAAUCCAUUUGUUGAUGGAAUUAGAGUAUUUUGGAGGAACUCAUGAAAAGUCAUGAGUGUAUUGUCUUCGACUGAUAUUCCAGUGAUCCUAUCGUUGAUUCGAACACAUAUCCCAUUUUGUAUUGGUGUCACGAUGGCAAACAUAUUGUACUGGUCACAGUUCAGGUAUGGGACUGUCUGGGCUCUACGCUAAGGACGGACCUUGUUCGGGAACAUGUCGAUGAUGGAUCCGUAGGAGCGACCGACAUCAGUAGGUCCAGGUGUCCGGGUUUUAGUGGGUACAAGAGCUCUGCUCUUCUGGAACCUGUGUGGUUCUGGUCGAGGCUGUCGACGUCGGAGUACCCCUCUUAAGAGCGUAAAAGUGUGAAAUUUCACCCCUGUGGCUCCCGGGUUGGGAAGCUUACGGUCAUGUGUGAUGCCAAUAAUUUCCUUGUUUCAUUUCCGGUUAUGCUAUUCAUUCUACACAUCUCCAUUGAAAUAUGUUCCAAUGAUUAUUACCUUGUUUAUCCUCUGGAUUCAGUUCAUCUAUUGAUCUACACCGUCAUACUAUUCUCCUUGUUGAAUGGUGAAGUGCCUGCUUGCUGAGUAUGAUUUAUCGUACUCACCCUUGCUUCCUCUGUUUAUUUUAGAUGCAGACGAUGCAACUUAAGUAUGCCCAGAAGAUGCCAUAGAAGAAUAGGCUGGACCAGUGGGUGGGGAACGACUAGAGAAUUUCAUUUAUUUUGUCUAUUUCUAAAUAUAAAGGAAUUUGUAUAGUCAAUAUAUGAGCUUUUGUGAUCCACUGCUGGUUUAUGCCUGCUUAAUCACGCCUUGUGUGACUAUAUAUAGGACUCUGGUCUAUAGGCGUGCGGCGACUGUCUCGCCUAGACCCGGUCUCGGGGCGUGACAUGUUCAUAAUAUUGAAGCCAAAAGAUGCAAAGUUGAUAAUGAUAGUGCAACUUAUUUGUGGCACUGCCAUUUAUGUCAUAUUGGUGUAAAGCGCAUGAAGAAACUCCAUGCUGAUGGGCUUUUAGAAUCACU